UUCGUACGUAGCAGAGCAGCUCC
rnacentral:piRNA from 2 species